rnacentral:rRNA from 1 species
UACGGAGGGAGCUAGCGUUGUUCGGAAUUACUGGGCGUAAAGCGCACGUAGGCGGCUUUGCAAGUUAGAGGUGAAAGCCCGGGGCUCAACUCCGGAAUUGCCUUUAAAACUGCAUCGCUAGAGUUGUGGAGAGGUAAGUGGAAUUCCGAGUGUAGAGGUGAAAUUCGUAGAUAUUCGGAAGAACACCAGUGGCGAAGGCGACUUACUGGACACAUACUGACGCUGAGGUGCGAAAGCGUGGGGAGCAAACAGG